CCCCUCUCAAGAUUGCACUUAGGGAGUUUCCAGUACUCUACCAGUCUCAGCUAUUGGAGGGAGAGUCAAGCAGAGGCCUAUCCAUUCCAUUCCUAGCUUGGGCAGUGGCUAGCAAGUGGAAGGCAAUCUGCUACAAGU
rnacentral:snoRNA from 1 species